GACUUCUGGUUUAAUGCACCUGGCCCGCAUCCAACAGGUUUGUGAGUGCCGUCGCGCGUUUACCAUCCUUCCAGGAAACGAGUCUUCCCUAACUGGGCCGGACUCGAGAUCUGGAUCAUUUACUUUGAAAAAAUUAGAGUGUUUAAAGCAGGCUUUUGCUAUGAGUACAUUCGCAAAUAAUCUCGGACUAUUUUGUUGGUUUCUACAACUGAAGUAAUGAUUGUUGGGGAUAGUUGGGACCGGUCGGUGACAUUCUUGGAUUCGGUCAAGACUAACUUAUGUGAAAGCAUU
rnacentral:rRNA from 1 species